UACGAAGGGGGCGAGCGUUGUUCGGAAUUACUGGGCGUAAAGGGCGCGUAGGCGGCCUUCUAAGUCGAACGUGAAAUCCCCGGGCUCAACCCGGGAACUGCGUCCGAUACUGGGAGGCUUGAAUCCGGGAGAGGGAUGUGGAAUUCCAGGUGUAGCGGUGAAAUGCGUAGAUAUCUGGAGGAACACCGGUGGCGAAGGCGGCAUCCUGGACCGGUAUUGACGCUGAGGCGCGAAAGCCAGGGGAGCAAACGGG
rnacentral:rRNA from 1 species